rnacentral:rRNA from 1 species
GUCCACGCCGUAAACGAUGGGUGCUAGGUGUCGCGGGCAUUGACCCCUGCGGUGCCGAAGCCAACGCAUUAAGCACCCCGCCUGGGGAGUACGGCCGCAAGGCUAAAACUCAAAGGAAUUGACGGGGGCCCGCACAAGCGGUGGAGCAUGUGGUUUAAUUCGACGCAACGCGCAGAACCUUACCCGGGCUAGAAAAUGCAGGAACCUGGUCGAAAGAUUGGGGUGCUCUUCGGAGAACCUGUAGUUAGGUGCUGCAUGGCUGUCGU